rnacentral:misc_RNA from 1 species
CGUAAAGGUGCAUGAGUGGUGUUUGGUUUGUUACGGGUGGUUGGCUCUUUGCUUGUGCAACAACUUCCCCCUGACAAACCUUUUCAGAUGUGUGUUAAGGCCGUUUAUAGCCUGCCUAAACAACUUAUGGGUUUCCUGUGUUGCCUACCUAACAUAUGGUAUUUGUCAUUGCUGAUCCAAGUUCUUUUUGUCUUGUGUCAUAUUUGGUGACAUUAGAUGAACCCUAUAGCUACUCUUUGGACAACAACAUGAGUUUGUGUGUUGAUGUAGUGGUGCAUUGAGUGUUGCUUGGUCUCUUUGAUAUGGAAGCUGAUGUGGGCAUUGGGUCUCAUGGGAUUCUUGUUAUGUCCUCGUUUAGUGUUUACGCUUUUAUAAAAUGACUGCUUGACACGCAUUGGCUCGUACCAGCGUGUUGGGUUUUGUCAAAAAGGAAAGU